UGCUGAUCUAGGAUCAGUUUAGCCUUUUAUAUCAUAGUCACUAUUCUAUCCUACGUAUUCUAGAUAUACUAAAUAUUCUAUCCACAUACUGUCCUUAAUGUCUUUACAGCUAGAUAUUACUGAACUGCUGGGAGCUAGGAACACACGCAUUUACCUACACCUGCAAUAACAUCUACUAAAUAUGUGUAUGCGACCAAUAAAAUAUCAUUUGAUGUUGAAUCAGAUUAUUAUGGACAGGGAGGCCCUGAUCCUAGAUCAGCAGUCCUACUAAAGCUUUAUGAAUACAGGCCCAGGUCUGACUCAAAACAAGACAUUUGGUAUUCCUUCUGUGUUUAGUAUUAAAACUCAGCAGUGUGCUGUAGUGUUGAACGGGAUUCUCUGCACUUUGGUGCAGCGUCACUGAUCCAGUCAAAAUGUGACCGAAACGUGUCACGGAUCUCCUCACACAGCUUGGAACUGAGCCCUGGAACAAUGACCGCACAAACAGUCAGCAAACUCAUCAUCGCCAAUUAUGUUAUGCUGCCUAGAUGACUAGACGUUUCCUAUCAGCAUAAAGGACAUUUCUCUGAAGAGCGCGACUACACACCAUCAGGGCCAGUUUCCCAGACCCAGAUAAUAUGUUCAGUCCUGGACUACAAAGCUAUUUCAAUGGAGAUUCUCCAUUGACUGUGUUGUUUAGUCCAGGACUAGGCUUAAUCUGUGUCUGGGAAACUGGCCCUUAUUACUGGUCACUGACCUCUAUUCUUUCCAAAUUAUGCUAGAGCCCAUGUCUGCAUCUCAAAUUACAAAAUUUGCCCUAUAAAGUGCACUACUUUUGAGUAGAGUCCCAUAUCCCUAUGGGCACUGGUCAACAGUAGGGCACUACAUAGAGAACAGGGUGCCAUUUGGGACUGGUCCCAUGCUUACCCACCAGAUCCUGUGUCCCCCACUCAGGCUGUGAAGUAGCACCCCUCCAAUGUCGUAAUCUAUUCUCUCCACCUCCAUCGUCUGCUGGAGUAAACUAUUACUCUCCUCGCCCCAAUGUGGGUUUAAACAGCGUAUCAUAACAACUCAGACCAUUCUGUAAAAGGUAUCCAGGGCUCUACAAUGCGAGUAUUUCACUCGCAUUUGCCCUUAAAUUGAUUUGUGCGAACCGGAAAAAUGAUUUACGAGCACAGUGUGCGAGUAAAGAUUACAAUCUACCGUAAUCUAUUAUUUUUUUCCCACAAGCGCCAACCACAGUAGGGUUUUCAGUGCUGACGCAGUCCAGUCAGAGUGAGAGAAAGGUGAACAACACUGGGGGAAAAGUAUUGGUAUAGGCUGUAAAUGAACGUGCAGACAUCGCUAAAAAUGAAGCCCAUUCAAUUGUAUUUUAAGCGAAUAAGAGACGAGGAGAAAGAGUAAUCAGGCGAGGGGGAUUCGCAAGGUUCAACUAAUGAAGCCUCUUCACAAGAUUUACGUGAGGCGGUUAGCGAAGCUACGGUGACCCCGGCUGUCACUUCAACGUCCACUGUAGCCGGCGGAGGGAGAACAUAUAGAUUCAAUGCGAAUUGGCUCAAAAUGUUCCCAUGGCUAGAGUUAGAAAACAAUGUAAUGUUCUGCAAAUAUUGUAGAAGGCUGAAACAGGCGGGCAACUCGUCCUUCGUGUCAGGAAAAAGAGAGAUAGCGCAGCGAAACAUAACAUCUGGCUGCGGCAUAUCCAGUGCAGAGAUCUGAACAUGUUGAGACAGGAGACACCAUAAAGCACGGUGUCAGCAGCCUUGAGGAGACAAGUGUUUCUGUCUGAGGAGGAGACAAACAUAACAUACUAAAUUGCGAAAGAACCUUUAGUCAAAUUUGUUCGGACAACAGACUUCGGGACACUCAACGCCAUUGGUAAAUUGUUUAUCUUUAUAGGCUUUAUUUUGGUGUAAGGUUGAAUCAUUAUUCGUAAUGGAGAUAGAAUUUAUUUUGUAAUAAAUGCUUUUGUAUUAUCAUUAUUUGUUUGUCCAUUCGAGGUGUUUUGGAUGCCACCAAGGCCGCAUAUCGUGCUGUUUGCCCAGAGGAAGAUGGCGGGUCAUGGAUGAAGAAGUGCGUCUCCUUCGGGGCAGAUGGUGCCACCGUGGGGGAGUGAUUGACCACCUGCAGAGGGGCAGGGGGGCAUAUAAUCCCAAUCCACUGUAUGCCACAUAUAUUUGUAACUAAUAAAUGAUCUGAUUUAGUUUUAUUUGCUAGCAGAUAAUGUUAAACAAUACUGUGUGUGUCUGUGUGUGCGCUAAGUGCUGGAAUGGUAAAUACCACAGAAUUAUUGUAUUCUGUUGACACAAGAGAUGGAGGGGAUGAAUUGUUUGGAAGAUUCAGUUCUGACUUUCACAGGCUAGAGCUGGCAAUACUGACCAUUCAGAAGAAAGAGCCAAAUGUGUCUGUAUGAUCUUCUGAAUGUGAUAUGUAUCACUUCAGAAGAUGUAUCAUUUCAGCGGAAAAUCCAAACGAUGUUGUUCUAUGUUCUCGGGCAAGAGCUCAGUGUAGAUAUUUGCACACCGUCUAGCGUCAAGGAAACUCGCUGGAUCCCCCAUGUCCACAGAGCCCUCCAAGUGUUCCUGAGGCAUGGACAAGACAAGGACCUUACCGCCGACGAAGGCCAGUACUCCGUUGUUCUGCAACACAUCAACAACAGCGGAUGUUCAAGGGCAGGCAAAAGAAGAUCGGGGUGCAACAUGGCUGCAAUCCAGGAUGAGUGGCAGGGGCUGUCAGCCACAAUUUCAAGGACAAGUCUUAGUGGCAUGUGGGAGACCAUGUUGACAAAGGACCCCUACAGGCACGAUUACAAGAACAUACUGGAGUUGGUGCAGCUUAUGCUGGUGCUGCCCAUUUCAGCCGCCCAGUGUGAGUGAGGCUUCUCUGUGCAGAACCGGAUUAAGAUUGACAAGAAGUUGCCUUGGGGUCUCUAUCACCGAAGACCUGAUGAGGAUCAGCCUGGGGGUCUUCUGUCGAGGAGUUGGAUCCCACUCCUGCCGUGGACCGCUGGCUGACCUCUAAGCGUGCCAGACGGCCAACAUACAAAAGCAGCUGGACAACUGAUAUCCUUUGCGUCUAGUAGCCAUGAGUCAAUGUAUGAUUGGUGGUAUGUGUCCCUUAUGUGUCCCUUAGUACACACACGCAGUAAAAAUAUGUAUGUAAUAAAUUGUUUGUUAAUAAACUCUGUGUUACUUGAACAUU
ensembl:lncRNA